rnacentral:rRNA from 1 species
CGGGACACGUGGUAUCCUGUCUGAAUAUGGGGGGACCAUCCUCCAAGGCUAAAUACUCCUGACUGACCGAUAGUGAACCAGUACCGUGAGGGAAAGGCGAAAAGAACCCCGGCGAGGGGAGUGAAAAAGAACCUGAAACCGUGUACGUACAAGCAGUGGGAGCCUCUUUUAUGGGGUGACUGCGUACCUUUUGUAUAAUGGGUCAGCGACUUAUAUUCUGUAGCAAGGUUAACCGAAUAGGGGAGCCGAAGGGAAACCGAGUCUUAACUGGGCGUUAAGUUGCAGGGUAUAGACCCGAAACCCGGUGAUCUAGCCAUGGGCAGGUUGAAGGUUGGGUAACACUAACUGGAGGACCGAACCGACUAAUGUUGAAAAAUUAGCGGAUGACUUGUGGCUGGGGGUGAAAGGCCAAUCAAACCGGGAGAUAGCUGGUUCUCCCCGAAAGCUAUUUAGGUAGCGCCUCGUGAAUUCAUCUCCGGGGGUAGAGCACUGUUUCGGCAAGGGGGUCAUCCCGACUUACCAACCCGAUGCAAACUGCGAAUACCGGAGAAUGUUAUCACGGGAGACACACGGCGGGUGCUAACGUCCGUCGUGAAGAGGGAAACAACCCAGACCGCCAGCUAAGGUCCCAAAGUCAUGGUUAAGUGGGAAACGAUGUGGGAAGGCCCAGACAGCCAGGAUGUUGGCUUAGAAGCAGCCAUCAUUUAAAGAAAGCGUAAUAGCUCACUGGUCGAGUCGGCCUGCGCGGAAGAUGUAACGGGGCUAAACCAUGCAC